rnacentral:rRNA from 1 species
CCUACGGGUGGCUGCAGUGAGGAAUAUUGGUCAAUGGCCGGAAGGCUGAACCAGCCAAGCCGCGUGAAGGACGAAGGUGCCAAGCAUUGUAAACUUCUUUUGUCAAGGGACAAAAUCAGGCUCGAGAGCCUGACCGAGGGUACUUGAAGAAAAAGCAUCGGCUAACUCCGUGCCAGCAGCCGCGGUAAUACGGAGGAUGCGAGCGUUGUCCGGCUUUAUUGGGGUUAAAGUGGGCGUAGGCGGGCUGUUACGUCAGCGGUAAAAGCCCGGGGCUCAACCCCGGCGAGCCGUUGAAACUGGCUGUCUUGAGAGGGCGAGAGGUAUGCGGAAUGCGCAGUGUAGCGGUGAAAUGCUUAGAUAUUGCGCAGAACUCCGAUUGCGAAGGCAGCAUACCGGCGGUGAUCUGACGCUGAGGCACGAAAGCGUGGGUAUCGAACAGGAUUAGAUACCCUUGUAGUC